rnacentral:rRNA from 1 species
CAUGGUCUUUUGAUUAUAAUGGAAGAUUUAGCCUGCCCACUGAGGAUUUGAAGGGCCGCGGUAUUUUGACCGUGCAAAGGUAGCAUAAUAAUUAGUUUUUUAAUUGGAAGCUGGUAUGAAUGGCUGGACGAGGAAAUUACUGUCUCUGGUUAACUUGAAAUGGAAUUUUAUUUUUAAGUAAAAAAGCUUAAAUUAUUUUGAAAGACGAGAAGACCCUAUAGAGUUUUAUAUUUUUGUUAAAAUAAAUGUUUAAAGAAUUAAAUUGUUUAUUUUAUAAAAAAUAUUUUGUUGGGGUGAUGGGAAGAUUUAAUUAACUCUUUUUAUAUAUUUACAUUUAUUUUUGAAUUUUUGAUCCAUUAAUUUUGAUUAUAAGAAUAAAUUACCUUAGGGAUAACAGCGUAAUCUUUUUUGAGAGUUCUUAUCGAAAUAAGGGAUUGCGACCUCGAUGUUGGAUUAAAAUUAAUUAUUGGUGCAGAAGCUAUAUGAUUGAGUCUGUUCGACUUUUGAAAUUUUACAUGAUCUGAGU